rnacentral:tRNA from 1 species
UGGUAAUUAGUUUAAACAAAAUUAAUGAUUUCGACUCAUUAGAUUGUGGUACCUACCAUAAUUACCAA